rnacentral:rRNA from 1 species
GUCGAACGGCAGCACGGGUGCUUGCACCUGGUGGCGAGUGGCGAACGGGUGAGUAAUACAUCGGAACGUGCCUUGUAGUGGGGGAUAGCUCGGCGAAAGCCGGAUUAAUACCGCAUACGCUCUGAGGAGGAAAGCGGGGGACCUUCGGGCCUCGUGCUACAAGAGCGGCCGAUGUCAGAUUAGCUAGUUGGUGAGGUAAAGGCUCACCAAGGCGACGAUCUGUAGCUGGUCUGAGAGGACGACCAGCCACACUGGGACUGAGACACGGCCCAGACUCCUACGGGAGGCAGCAGUGGGGAAUUUUGGACAAUGGGCGAAAGCCUGAUCCAGCAAUGCCGCGUGUGUGAAGAAGGCCUUCGGGUUGUAAAGCACUUUUGUUCGGGAAGAAAUCCUUUGGGCUAAUACCUCGGGGGGAUGACGGUACCGGAAGAAUAAGCACCGGCUAACUACGUGCCAGCAGCCGCGGUAAUACGUAGGGUGCGAGCGUUAAUCGGAAUUACUGGGCGUAAAGCGUGCGCAGGCGGUUUUGUAAGACGGAUGUGAAAUCCCCGGGCUUAACCUGGGAACUGCAUUCGUGACUGCAAGGCUAGAGUACGGCAGAGGGGGGUAGAAUUCCACGUGUAGCAGUGAAAUGCGUAGAGAUGUGGAGGAAUACCGAUGGCGAAGGCAGCCCCCUGGGCCAAUACUGACGCUCAUGCACGAAAGCGUGGG